rnacentral:rRNA from 1 species
UACAGAGGUCCCGAGCGUUGUUCGGAUUCACUGGGCGUAAAGGGUGCGUAGGUGGUGAGGUAAGUUUGAUGUGAAAUCUCCGGGCUUAACCCGGAAAUGGCAUUGAAUACUACUUUGCUGGAGGAUUGGAGGGGGGACUGGAAUUCUCGGUGUAGCAGUGAAAUGCGUAGAUAUCGAGAGGAACACCAGUGGCGAAGGCGAGUCCCUGGACAAUACCUGACACUGAGGCACGAAAGCCGGGGGAGCAAACAGGAUUAGAAACCCUCGUAGUCC